rnacentral:snRNA from 1 species
AUAUGAGCUAAUACACACACUAAAACUGGAAUGAUACAGACAAGAUUAGCAUGGCCUCUGCACAAGGAUGACAAGUAAAUUCAUGUGAUCCAUGUUUUA